rnacentral:antisense_RNA from 1 species
UUUGACACGACAUUGCUCACAUUGCUUCCAGUGUAAUUUUAAGCUUUUCGGUAGUGCUGAACGUUU